rnacentral:lncRNA from 1 species
GAGAGAGAGAGAAGGUGACAGAGGAAAGGAAAAGAUAGAGAGGGAACAGAAGAGAGGAGAGGAGAGAGAAGAGGAGACACUGACAGUUGGACUUUUAAAUGGUGGCAACAGAACUGACGAUCUGACUCUCACCCCGACACUACACCUGGUUAAACAGCAAGUGGUGGUUCUUCUAUCAGUCACGACAGCUCCACCUGCUGGCAGGUUUGGAAAAGCUCCAUGAGUUUAGAUCCACUCACCGUCCAUUUCUUUUGGCUCCAUCCUCCCGUUUCUUCUGGCACACUGUCAGAGGUUGAUCUCUUGCUGGAGGCGGAGUUCGCAAGGCACAAAAUCAAGAUCAUCAAUGACCUCAGGCACCCCGAG